UGCAGUCGAGCGGACCUUACGAUCUUCUGAUCGCUCUUGGUUAGCGGCGGACGGGUGGGUAACACGUAAGCCACCUGGCCGUAAGAACGGGAUAACUACCGGAAACGGUAACUAAUACCGGAAAAUUUAUCCCUUCCCAUGGAGCGGUAAUGGAAGACGGGACAAUCUGUCACUUACGGAUGGGCCUGGGGGGCAUUUACUUGGUUGUGGGGUAACGGCUCCCCCAGGCGACGAUGCCUAACCGAACUGAAAAGGUGGACGGCCCCCCUGGGACUGAAACCCGGGCCAGAACCCUACCGGAGGCAGCCGUAGGGAAUCUUCCCCCAUGGGCCAAAGCCUGACGGAACCACCCCCCGGGGGUGAUGAAGGUUUUUGGAUCCUAAAGCUCUGUUGGCAGGGAAAAA
rnacentral:rRNA from 1 species